AGGGUUAUAGUUAAAAAUAACAUCUGGGUUGCAUUCAGAAAGUACCUUCCGGUUAACCUUA
rnacentral:tRNA from 1 species